GAUGAACGCUGGCGGCGUGCCUAAUACAUGCAAGUCGAGCGAACAGACGAGGAGCUUGCUCCUCUGACGUUAGCGGCGGACGGGUGAGUAACACGUGGAUAACCUACCUAUAAGACUGGGAUAACUUCGGGAAACCGGAGCUAAUACCGGAUAAUAUAUUGAACCGCAUGGUUCAAUAGUGAAAGACGGUUUUGCUGUCACUUAUAGAUGGAUCCGCGCCGCAUUAGCUAGUUGGUAAGGUAACGGCUUACCAAGGCGACGAUGCGUAGCCGAACUGAGAGGGUGAUCGGCCACACUGGAACUGAGACACGGUCCAGACUACUACGGGAGGCAGCAGUAGGGAACCUUCCGCAAUGGGCGAAAGCCUGACGGAGCAACGCCGCGUGAGUGAUGAAGGUCUUCGGAUCGUAAAACUCUGUUAUUAGGGAAGAACAAAUGUGUAAGUAAAUAUGUACGUCUUGACGGUACCUAAUCAGAAAGCCACGGCUAACUACGUG
rnacentral:rRNA from 1 species